rnacentral:rRNA from 1 species
GUGGGGGAUAUUGCACAAUGGGCGAAAGCCUGAUGCAGCAACGCCGCGUGAGGGAAGACGGUUUUCGGAUUGUAAACCUCUGUUCUAAGUGACGAACAAAUGACGGUAGCUUAGGAGAAAGCCCCGGCUAACUACGUGCCAGCAGCCGCGGUAAUACGUAGGGGGCAAGCGUUGUCCGGAAUUACUGGGUGUAAAGGGAGCGCAGGCGGAGAAGCAAGUCAGUGGUGAAAACGAUGGGCUUAACUCAUCGACUGCCAUUGAAACUGUUUCCCUUGAGUGAAGUAGAGGCAGGCGGAAUUCCGAGUGUAGCGGUGAAAUGCGUAGAUAUUCGGAGGAACACCAGUGGCGAAGGCGGCCUGCUGGGCUUUAACUGACGCUGAGGCUCGAAAGUGUGGGGAGCAAACAGGA